ensembl:lncRNA
AAUAGCAAACAGCUGGCCACACUGCUUGUGAGCCGCAGCCAUGGUGGCUCUAUUGGUCUCAGAAGCUGUUAAAAUAGUGCAGGGGAAAGAUCUAACUAUAUGGACUUCACAUGAUGUAGCUGGAAUUCUGGCUUCUAAGGGAGGCUUAUGGCUGCCUGACAACCGCUUACUCAAAUAUCAGACCUUAAUGCUCGAAGAGCCUGUGCUUCAGCUGCACACAUGUGCAGCCCUCAAUCCAGCUACAUUUCUUCCUAAGGAAGGGGCAGACAGAGAACAUGACUGUCGGCUCAAGAGGACCUUUUAGAAACUCCUCUAGCCAAUCCUGACCUUAACCUAUAUACUGACAGAAGUUCAUUUCUGGAAAAUGGAGUUUGAAAGGCAGGAUAUACGGUAGUCGGUGACCAAACAGUGCUUGAAAGGAAUUCCCUUCCUCCUGGAACUAGUGCCCAGCUGGCAAAACUAGUAGCCCUCACUUGAGCUCUAAACUUAGGAAAAGGAAAGAGAAUAAACACACACACACAGAUUCCAAACAUGCUUACCUGGUUUUGCACACCCAUGCUGCCAUUUGUGAGGAAAGAGAGCUCCUAACCUCGGCAGGAACGCCCAUUAAAUGUCAUAAGGGAAUUUUAGACUUAUUACAAGCUGUCCGAGAACACAAAGAGGCAUCAUUCUGACACUGCCAAGGCCACCAGAAAGGAGAUGAGAAGGAAGCAGAGGGCAAUAGCCGAGCUGAGCUAGAGGCAAAAAGGGCAGCCAGACGAGAAUUUAUAGAAGGACCUUUAAUAUGGGAAAACCCUGUCCAGGGAACUAGACCUCAGGACUCAUCAGAAGGGGUAGAGUGGGCAGUCUCCCAGGGACAUAAUCUUCCUUCAGAAUGGCUAGCUACUGAGGAGGGGAAAGUGCUCCUACCUGCUGCCAGCCAUGGAAAGUACUGAAAACCCUACAUCAAACCUUCCAUAGGGGCGUAGAAAAUACAUACCAAAUGCCCAAAUCUAUAUUUACAGAAAAAGGUCUCUUCAUGGCUGUCCAACAAAUAGUCAGAGGAUCUGAAAUAUGCCAGAAAAACAAUCCUUGGACACAUCGCAGAGUUCCUCUUGGGGAAGAGCUAACCGGUCAUUACCCAGAAUUGAGGCCACGAGGCUACAAAUGGUCCUGCAAAUGGAACCCCGGAUGUCCUUGGAUCACGGACCUCUGGAUUGACCUGCACCCCUGGAAGACUGCCUCUGGAGGAAACCUCAACUGCAGGGCCGCUUCUACGCCCCAGUUCAGCAGGAAGUAGUUAAUGAGUGAUCAACGCCCAUGUCCCAACAGCAAUUGGACUUUCCAGUUCAGAAGGGGAACUGAGGGACUGGGUUAAAGAAACUUCUCUUCCUGGGUCCGCUAGGGGAGGGGUUUCAAAUGCAGGAAUUUCCCAGCUCCUCACCUCAGGCAGCUGGGGCUCUUUGAGCACCUCCUCCACGUGGACCAGGUAAAAUUCUUUGUCUGAUCGUCCCGCUGCAGGAAAGCCAGGUGGGACUCUUUUGUCCCAAAUUCCGCAAAAAGCUCUUGGAGAAGGGGGCUCUGUAACUCGGGGUUGUAGACCAAGUAGCCAAUCUGGUAUCAGAGUCAAAGGUCAAUCACUCCAGAGGAAUUUUGAAAGAACUCCUCUCAUUGGACAAGAACAUGAAUUGGGAGGGAAUAACUCAAGGGUUAAAACUUCAGCUUCUCCUACCUGAAGGGAUAUCCCUCUCUGGGUUCUCUUUCCAUAACAGUGUGGGAGCUGUCUCUCUCUCUCUCUCUCUCUCUCUCUCUCUCUCUCUCUCUCUCUCUCUCUGUCUAAUAAAUCACUCUUCCACGAAACUCUUUGGGUCCACAAUUUUAUUUGGAUGGUAAACUCACUGCACCUCCAGGGCCCCUUUCCUCAUUCUUCAGGGUUAGAGAGGUCAAGAACCUACAAGCUGGGUACUCCCCCAGUAACAAUAUGGUUCUUUCUACAGAAAAUCCCAAGGAAUCUCAAAACAAACAAACAAAACCCUCUUGAAAUUGAUAAGCAGUUAUAGAAAGAUUGUAGGAUACCAAAGUCAAUUGCUUUCAGUUCUAUCUCUACAAUUUCCUAUAAAUAUAUAUAGUUACUUCAAAACAAAACCAAAAAAAUCUUAAAUGGAAAAAUGAAGUACUCCCAUAAACCACAAAUAUCUGUAAUCUUGCUUGGGUUUGAUAAAUAAGUGGUGAUAACUUACAAAAUGACAACAAGAAUUGCUGUUCUCUUUGGGAUAUAUCAAUGGGAGGUAAGCCAAGGGAUCCACAAAAACACCUGGAAAUGAAAUAAUUUAUUUGAAUAUUAACUUAUGCUGAAUCAUACACACACAUACACACAUGCAUACUCAACUGUAACCUCACCUUUUAAAUAAAAUUAGUAUUAACAUUUUGUUAUAUUUUCAUCCAGUAUUGUGUGUGUGCUAAAAAUGAAGAACUCUAAGACUUUACUGUUGAUAAUACCUGCAGAGUUUUUUUAAACAGAAACCUCUGGCGACACUCCAGAGUUUCUGACUCGGUAAAUCUAGGUGGAGUGCAAGAAUUCGCAUUGCUAACAAAGUUCCCAGGUAGUGCUGAUAAUAUUAAUAUGGGGAACAUGCCUUCAGAAUGCUUGACAAACACUAUAAUUCUCUUAUCUUUGUUUACAUUCCAUAAUAUAUUAUGAACCUGCUUUAUUGUUGAUCUUCAAAAACAUAAUUUUAAUAGAUUUAAAGGUUUCUAAUGUAUUUCUGUCCUGUAAUUUUAAAAUGUUUAUAUUUUUCUGGAGCUCCAAAGGAGCAAAAAUUACAGCUCCCUUUUUCUUUCGGUCUAAAUUUUGAAUUAAUUGAGAAAAUAAAACUAUAUAGUACAGCAGAAGAUCAAAAUAUCAUCUUUAUUAAGGAACAACUCUCUGAUAUUGGUAAGUGUGCCCAGUAUCUACAAGCAAGUCAGCUUCUGAAUACUAAAUUCAGGAAUUAGGCUAAACCUUUCCAUUCCAGCACUGGGAGUCUUGCACCAUCAUAGAUUCCCCUUGAUGGAAUACACCCAAAGGCAGUUUGGAGCAUAUGUGGGCUGCUUGAUUCCCAAGAGAAGAAUCCAUGGCUAUCUCCAUCAAGAUUAGGAAAAGAGCAACCUUUCAAUACAGUUCUACUCCACUUUCGUGAGGCUGUUCCACAGCACCAUGGUUUAACACAAAGUCACAUAAGAUACAACAGGUGAAAGAGCUAAGGACAAGCCACCCCAAAAUAUGCUGCUUUGACAUAUUAAUUAUUUCAAGUUGAAGACACUUGAGAAACAGCAAAUGCAGGAAGAGUCCUCUGAUGGCUCUUUCUACUGAAAACAAGACACAAAUUUUUCCAUGAGAAAGAUUCCCUCCCUGUGUCAGGAAGAGAAGGAUACCCUUCACACCAGACACUGGGAAUCAAUGCUGUACAAACAAACAUUCUAAAAUAACCCUUACCCUCCACUAGCUUUAUUCCCCACACACCAUGUAUCUCCUAGUGACUCUCCACAACUUACGGCUCCUAAACACUUUUGUCUUGUCAUUUCUUCACAAAUGUGUUGUUUAGGUCAGAAACAGAUACCCCAAAUUCAAUGUGUUAACAGGCUGAACAGAAGAAGCCUCAAGGCUUCUCUGACCUUCUCCCUCUGCUGUCUCUCCCAAGGAAGGUGAAGUUCCUUUGUCCAUACCUACUUCCCCUUCCUGUAAGGCCACAAAUGUGACCACACCAGAACAGACCCUUUCACUGUCAAAAAGAACUAUCUACUGUCAAAAAGAAAAGCUACUCUCAGUUCCAGAAUCCAUUCACUCUCCCUCAUAAUCCUUAGUGGCCCCUCAACGGAAUUCCUCUUCUCCCCUCUCCCAUAACCUGCUUGUCAGGAUGUUACGUAAGCUUCUAAACCCCAUUGCAAGGGGAGUAGUCACCCUGCAGUUCUCUCCAUGUGCACUUUCUGUCCAUAUCGCAUGAAGGUAGUUCACUUGUUAAAUAAAUUUGCGUGAUUUUCUCUUAUUAAGCUGUCUCGUAUCAGUGAUUUUUCAGUGAGCUUUCCCUACAGUAUCAUUUCUUCAUUUAAAAGAUAUAAAAGCUUUCUGUUCUCGUCACUUGUUCAGGUCUUUGUCCUCUUAGAAAGAUCCCCAUAUAUGUGGUGGCUUAUGCCUAUAAUCCCAGCACUUUGGGAGGCAAAGAUCGGUGGAUCACCUGAGAUCAAGAGUUUGAGACCAGGCUGGCCAACAUGGUGAAACCCUAUCUCUAUUAAAAAUACAAAAAAAAAAAAAAAAUUAGCUGGGUGUGGUGGUGGGUGCCUGUAAUCCCAGCUACUUAAGAGGCUGAGGAGGGAGAAUUGCUUGAACCCAGGAGGCAGAGGUUGCAGUGAGCCGAGAUCGCGCCACUUCAUUCAGCCUGAGUGCUGGAGCAAGACUCUGUCUCAAAAUAAAAAAGAUUAAUAAAGUUUGCAUGCUGUUCUCUGUUGAUCUGUCUUACAUUGGUUUCAUUUUUAGACUGAGCUGGAGACUCUGCGAGGAUAGAAAAUUUUUU